rnacentral:tRNA from 1 species
GGGGAUUAGCUCACUGGCUAGAGCGCUUCCAUGGCAUGGAAGAGGUCAUCGGUUCGAAUCCGAUAUUCUCCACCA